CCUACGGGGGGCAGCAGUGGGGAAUAUUGGACAAUGGGCGCAAGCCUGAUCCAGCGAUACCGCGUGUGUGAAGAAGGCCUUAGGGUUGUAAAGCACUUUCAAUGGGGAGGAAAACCUACCGGUCAAUACCCGGUAGCUUGACAUUACCUGUAGAAGAAGCACCGGCUAACUCCGUGCCAGCAGCCGCGGUAAUACGGAGGGGGCAAGCGUUAAUCGGAAUUACCGUGCGUAAAUCGUUAGGUCAGAUGUCAAAGCCCCGGGCUUAACCUGGGAACUGCAUUUGAAACUGGCGGACUAGAGUUGAGUAGAGGGGAGUGGAAUGUCAGGUGUAGCGGUGAAAUGCGUAGAUAUCUGAAGGAACACCAGUGGCGAAGGCGACUCCCUGGACUCAAACUGACGCUGAGGUACGAAAGCGUGGGUAGCAAACAGGAUUAGAUACCCUAGUAGUC
rnacentral:rRNA from 1 species